rnacentral:lncRNA from 1 species
ACAACAACUUUCCCUUCUUUCAGCCUAUUGGUACCCAUGGAGCCCAUAGGGAUGUCCCCACUACGCAUGAACUUUUUUUUUAAAUUUUCAAUUAACAGGCCGUCCCCAUAUCUCGUCCGGUAUGAGGGUGAAACGGGCCAUCCCCAUACCCCCUCUAGUAUGAGGCAACAUUCACAGUAGGGUUCCUUAUGUACCCGAUCCGUCCACCAUAUCUCAGGAUAUCCAGUAAGGUUGUCGUUCAUCUAUCCACUUAAUCAAACAAUUUUUUGUUUACCUUUAAUUUCUAGUUUCUCAAUUCAACCGUAAUCACAUAAAAAAGCAAAUCAUGCAUAAAAGGAAUAUAAACGCAUCAUCA